rnacentral:rRNA from 1 species
UACGAAGGGGGCGAGCGUUGUUCGGAAUUACUGGGCUUAAAGAGUUCGUAGGCGGCGCGGAAAGUAGGGUGUGAAAGCCCUCGGCUCAACCGAGGAAUUGCGCUCUAAACUACCGUGCUUGAGGAAGCUAGAGGUGAGCGGAACUGAUGGCGGAGCGGUGAAAUGCGUUGAUAUCAUCAGGAACACCGGAGGCGAAGGCGGCUCACUGGGGCUUUUCUGACGCUGAGGAACGAAAGCCAGGGGAGCGAACGGG